rnacentral:rRNA from 1 species
UGGGGAAUUUUUGGACAAUGGGCGCAAGCCUGAUCCAGCCAUGCCGCGUGUCUGAAGAAGGCCUUCGGGUUGUAAAGGACUUUUGUCAGGGAAGAAAAGGCUGUUGCUAAUAUCGACAGCUGAUGACGGUACCUGAAGAAUAAGCACCGGCUAACUACGUGCCAGCAGCCGCGGUAAUACGUAGGGUGCGAGCGUUAAUCGGAAUUACUGGGCGUAAAGCGAGCGCAGACGGUUACUUAAGCAGGAUGUGAAAUCCCCGGGCUCAACCUGGGAACUGCGUUCUGAACUGGGUGACUAGAGUGUGUUAGAGGGAGGUAGAAUUCCACGUGUAGCAGUGAAAUGCGUAGAGAUGUGGAGGAAUACCGAUGGCGAAGGCAGCCUCCUGGGAUAACACUGACGUUCAUGCUCGAAAGCGUGGGUAGCAAACAGGAUUAGAUACCCUGGUAGUCCACGCCCUAAACGAUGUCAAUUAGCUGUUGGGCAACUUGAUUGCUUAGUAGCGUAGCUAACGCGUGAAAUUGACCGCCUGGGGAGUACGGUCGCAAGAUUA